rnacentral:rRNA from 1 species
ACGAACGCUGGCGGCGUGCUUAACACAUGCAAGUCGAACGGUGAAGCGCCUUCCUUUUUGGUGGGUGUGGAUGAGUGGCGAACGGGUGAGUAACACGUGAGUAACCUGCCCCCUUCUUCUGGAUAACCGCAUGAAAGUGUGGCUAAUACGGGAUAUUCUGGGUCUGUCGCAUGAUGGGUCUGGGAAAGAUAUUGUUUCGGUGGGGGAUGGGCUCGCGGCCUAUCAGCUUGUUGGUGGGGUGAUGGCCUACCAAGGCGGUGACGGGUAGCCGGCCUGAGAGGGUGGACGGUCACACUGGGACUGAGACACGGCCCAGACUCCUACGGGAGGCAGCAGUGGGGAAUAUUGCACAGUGGGCGCAAGCCUGAUGCAGCGACGCCGCGUGAGGGAUGGAGGCCUUCGGGUUGUGAACCUCUUUCGCCAGUGAAGCAGGCCUGCCUCGUUUGUGGGUGGGUUGACGGUAGCUGGAUAAGAAGCGCCGGCUAACUACGUG